rnacentral:sRNA from 7 species
CGAUUCGAGCGUCAGCGAGAAAGCGUUGCCGCAGGCAACGACCCGAAGGGCGAAGCGCGCAGCGCUGAGUCAUCCUUCCCCCACCACCA